rnacentral:rRNA from 1 species
AAUUCGAUUGCCGACGAGUGGCGGACGGGUGAGUAAUGCGUAGGAAUCUACCUAUCGGAGUGGGAUAACUUAGGGAAACUUAAGGUAAUACCGCAUAAGCUCUAAGGAGUAAAGCAGGGGCUCGUAAGACCUUGCGCUGAUAGAUGAGCCUACGUCGGAUUAGCUUGUUGGUGGGGUAAAGGCCUACCAAGGCGAUGAUCCGUAGCUGGUCUGAGAGGACGACCAGCCACACUGGGACUGAGACACGGCCCAGACUCCUACGGGAGGCAGCAGUGGGGAAUAUUGGACAAUGGGCGAAAGCCUAAUCCAGCAAUGCCGCGUGUGUGAAGAAGGCCUGCGGGUUGUAAAGCACUUUCAGUGAGGAGGAAUGCCUUUGGGUUAAUACCCUGGAGGAUUGACGUUACUCACAGAAGAAGCACCGGCUAACUCUGUGCCAGCAGCCGCGGUAAUACAGAGGGUGCGAGCGUUAAUCGGAAUUACUGGGCGUAAAGGGUGCGUAGGUGGUUAGAUAAGUCAAAUGUGAAAGGCUCGGGCUUAACCUGAGAAUUGCGUUUGAUACUGUUUGGCUAGAGUAUUGUAGAGGAAAGUGGAAUUUCCGGUGUAGCGGUGAAAUGCGUAGAUAUCGGAAGGAACAUCAGUGGCGAAGGCGACUUUCUGGACAAAUACUGACACUGAGGCACGAAAGCAUGGGGAGCAAACAGGAUUAGAUACCCUGGUAGUCCAUGCCGUAAACGAUGAGAACUAGCUGUUGGGUGCCCUAGGCAUUUAGUAGCGAAGCUAACGCGUUAAGUUCUCCGCCUGGGGAGUACGGCCGCAAGGUUAAAACUCAAAGGAAUUGACGGGGGCCCGCACAAGCGGUGGAGCAUGUGGUUUAAUUCGACGCAACGCGAAGAACCUUACCUACCCUUGACAUGCAUGGAAUC